rnacentral:rRNA from 1 species
CAGUAGCCGCGGUAAUACAGAGGGUGCAAGCGUUAAUCGGAAUUACUGGGCGUAAAGCGCGCGUAGGUGGUUUGUUAAGUUGGAUGUGAAAUCCCCGGGCUCAACCUGGGAACUGCAUCCAUAACUGCCUGACUAGAGUACGGUAGAGGGUGGUGGAAUUUCCUGUGUAGCGGUGAAAUGCGUAGAUAUAGGAAGGAACACCAGUGGCGAAGGCGACCACCUGGACUGAUACUGACACUGAGGUGCGAAAGCGUGGGGAGCAAACAGGAUUAGAGACCCCCGUAGUCCCUGUCUCUUAUAU